rnacentral:tRNA from 1 species
GCCGACGUAGCUCAAUUUGGUAGAGCAAUCGCUUCGUAAGCGAUAGGUUAUCGGUUCAAUUCCGAUCGUCGGCU